rnacentral:lncRNA from 1 species
CAGCUCAUUAAAUGCAUGUGGGAUUGAGCACAUGGUGUGUUGGCCUAACCCAUUUUACAUCCUUCCAACUAGCUGGUGAAGGUCAAGCAAAAAUGACAGUGUAACAUAUAUGAUUGCUUGUACUUAACCCUGCUGGUUGGUAUGUUCCUCUCCAAAUGAGAGGUCUCAAGUUCAAACUUGACUGGUGAUAGGUAACCACCAUGUUCCUGACACUUGUUAUGAUUUCCACUGC